rnacentral:rRNA from 1 species
AUUGAACGCUGGCGGCAUGCCUUACACAUGCAAGUCGAACGGCAGCACGGGUGCUUGCACCUGGUGGCGAGUGGCGAACGGGUGAGUAAUACAUCGGAACAUGUCCUGUAGUGGGGGAUAGCCCGGCGAAAGCCGGAUUCAUACCGCAUACGAUCUACGGAUGAAAGCGGGGGACCUUCGGGCCUCGCGCUAUAGGGUUGGCCGAUAGCUGAUUAGCUAGUUGGUGGGGUAAAGGCCUACCAAGGCGACGAUCAGUAGCUGGUCUGAGAGGACGACCAGCCACACUGGGACUGAGACACGGCCCAGACUCCUACGGGAGGCAGCAGUGGGGAAUUUUGGACAAUGGGCGAAAGCCUGAUCCAGCAAUGCCGCGUGUGUGAAGAAGGCCUUCGGGUUGUAAAGCACUUUUGUCCGGAAAGAAAUCCUUGGCUCUAAUACAGUCGGGGGAUGACGGUACCGGAAGAAUAAGCACCGGCUAACUACGUG